UACGAAGGGGGCAAGCGUUGUUCGGAAUUACUGGGCGUAAAGGGCGCGUAGGCGGCGCGGUAAGUCACUUGUGAAAUCUCUGAGCUUAACUCAGAACGGCCAAGUGAUACUGCAGUGCUAGAGUGCAGAAAGGGCAAUCGGAAUUCUUGGUGUAGCGGUGAAAUGCGUAGAUAUCAAGAGGAACACCUGAGGCGAAGGCGGGUUGCUAGGCUGACACUGACGCUGAGUGCGCGAAAGCCAGGGGAGCAAACGGG
rnacentral:rRNA from 1 species